CUUCUGCAGUGAUGAAUUACGAAUUAUAUUCACAUGUCAGACUUCAGAGAUUUGUAAAAAAAUCAAUGAGAAUGAAAAUUCAGUUUUCUGAGCAGAUU